AGUCUCUAAGGUGCCACAAGUACUCCUUUUCUUUUUGCGGAUACAGACUAACACGGCUGCUACUCUGAAAUCUAUAAAGCUGGUAUCCCAAACCCCACAGACGUUCACACUCCUCCUGUACACCCAUCCUAGCCAGGUUUACUAGAGCUGGGUCACUUCUUCUCCUGGAGGCAGAUUGAACAAUCCAGUCCCAAGAAAUUUCAGUUCAUAUUACUGGCUGCACGGAGUGUUGUUUUACAAGGUACUUUGUGACGAUCACUAGGUUGUUAGGUUGAACAGAGUCUGAGGGGGAUGGCACAUUAUGCUGUGCUAGUAUGGCCCAGCUGUUGCAGGGUCUUCAUCUAUCUCUGCAUCUGCUUUCUUUAAGAAUGUGUCUGGCGAUCAUACUAAAUCUCGGAAGAUGAGGCUGAAACCUGAAGUCAAAAACUACAUUUAAUACUCAAAAGUAGCUGAAGAGCCUCUGAGAGCCCGGUAACUUGGAGAAAGGAGAACAGCAAAUAAUAUUCUACAAGAAAUAGUAUAGUGCAGUUGUUAUCCUGGGAGCCCCCGUGUGAAGUGUGGAAUUCAGCAUCUAACCCAAAUAUGCCCAUGUCUCUAGAAAAAAUUCAUUGGUACAAAAGCCUUGAAAUGUCCAACUACCUGAUUCCUAUUAGUAAAUCUUUAUUUUUUUAGAGAAUUUCCCAUAUAUUAUGGCAACUCGGAAAUAUGAAGGCACCUUUAACAAGCAUUCAUUAAUAUGUUCUGUGAAGUUUUCUGUUCCAAGGAAAAAGUAUGAAUCUUCCAAGUUUUCCUGGCAUUGCACAUGCAUUCCUGGUACUAACAGGGGAAAAAGCCCACCUCAGCAUUCUUUCGGUUAUUCAUUGAAAUGCCAGUGUUUCAGUACUGGUACCUCCUUGAGAGUCAAAGAGGAAGUAGAAUGACUUGCCAAACUAAUUUUUCAUCAUAAGUCCACACUAACAAUUAAUAGUCAAUAGGACUCUUUUAUUUUAAAAAGUUAUCACAAGAGCGCCGUUGCAUUACAGCAUCUGUUUCUUGCCAGACAUCUACUUUGUGUUGCUUCCCAAAGGAUCUUUGGGAACAGGCCUUUAAAUUUCAUUUUGGAAUUUGUCAGAUUUUUAGUGUUGAUUUAUUUAACUAAAUUGUACAUUCAUAUUUGUAUGUACUGAACUGUAUCAAAAAAUUUUUAAAGCUAGCACUGUUACUAAUCCAUUUUUACUAGGAUUUAAAACUCACUUCACUCUGAUUUUGCUAGGAUUUAAACUUCAUAUUUUUCAUAACAAAUAGCCUAAUGUAUCUGACUUUUAUUUUUGUUUUUAAUUAAAAGGAAAAGUGUCUGUAUGAGAAAGUGUCAAUAUUUGUGUUUGGCAGUUCUGUACCAUCAUUUAGCUGCUCCUUUGGAAGGCACCAGUUCUGCAAAUAUUUGUGCUAACCUUGAAGCAGCUUGCUGACUGGAGAAAGAGUAGAGGGGACUAAUAAAUCCUGCAUGAUGAGAAAACCAAAAUGAACUUCUACACAUCAGAUUGUACUUUACUAUUUCAAUACUGUAUCAGCAUUGUACAGGAGAAAUCUGCAAUAUGGACCAUCAAUGGCUGUAGAAAGAUCAAUUCCUGUUUUCAGACCUACUCACUGAAGCCCUGAUUCUGCAAAGCAAUUAUGCGUGUGCUUCGCUUUAAGUAUGUGAGUAAUCUCAUUCAUGUUUAGCAAAGCAUGUGUUUAACUUCAUUUGCUUAAAGUUAAUAAUGUAAGUGCUUGCAUGCCUUGUUGAACAGGGAUGAAUUUGCUUGUGUACUUAAAGUUGAGCACAAGGUUGAGUGUCUUGCAGGUCUGGGAACACAGAAAAAGCGGUUUGCAUGCACCUUAGCUGUGGCCCAGCUCAAACUAAUGAGCCAUGUUCUGUAGUGCUAGUGAGCUGCCAUGCAUAUCAUAAAUACUAGUCUUGUUAUGAGUUGACUGAACUCUACAAAUGUGCUUUUUGAAAGGCUGAUAAAUGUGACCAAUCAAUUUCAGAUUUAAUUGUUGUUACAUUCUAAACCAGCUCUGCAAUUACCUUCACAGAGAAGGGGGAAUGGGUAAAAUGUAGACAUGGCUAGAUCAACUGCCCCUCUUUUAAACAGACACGGGGACCAGGGAGGACACUCAGUGAUUUUCUGUUUCUACAGUUUUCUCAUUCUCAUUGGCUCUGCUGUGAAAUAUCACAAGAGCACCUUUGUUAUGCUCACUGUUCUGCUAUUUACUGAAUUUGGCAUCCGCCAAAAGCCAUUCAGAUUCAGCAGAGACUCUUAUUGGCACCGACAGGCUUUGGAACAGGCCUCUGAGGCCUGCUUCUGGUGAGGUUCUUUCAUCUUCUGUUUGGGAGAGUGGUUGUAAGUGUUGAUUCGGUAGGACGUACUCCAUUUUAUGCAGUUGUUAUAGCCGUGUAUGUCCCAGGAUAUUAGAGAGACAAAGUGGUUGAGGUAAGACCUUUUA